rnacentral:lncRNA from 1 species
CGGCGGGUGGGAAGAAGGAAUCGAGAGACACCACGCCACCACGUCUCACCCAGGCUAGCGCUAGAGCCAGUCUCCCCAUCCCUGCGCUGUGCAGGCAGCUCCGGAAAAGCCUGUGAAGCAAGAGGAAAUGUCCGCUCGGGCGCAGACAGGGUGGCAGUGGUGGCGACCCAGGCGAUAAUCCGCAGGGGCAACAGCACAGAAACAGUGCAGCCACCCAGGAUACUCGGCUGUCACCUUCACCGUCACUGUGACUCUGCGGGCCGCUGCCUGAAGCGAGUCAGGGACGCCAUAGCAGGGCGAUGACGAGGAGGAGGAGAAGGCGGAGGAGGCGGCGACGGCGACCAUGGCGACCACCACGGUAGAAUCCCCUGCCACCGCCGCCACCGCCUCCCCCACCAGGGGGCAGCACAUAGUCAAUCUGCCCUUAAAUAUCACCAUUUUCCUUUUUCCUUCUG